GUCUACGGCCAUACCACCCUGAACGCGCCCGAUCUCGUCUGAUCUCGGAAGCUAAGCAGGGUCGGGCCUGGUUAGUACUUGGAUGGGACACAUUCUCUUAUUCACUUGUGCCUGGUGAUC
rnacentral:rRNA from 1 species